AACGAACGCUGGCGGCAUGCCUAACACAUGCAAGUCGAACGAGACCUUCGGGUCUAGUGGCGCACGGGUGCGUAACGCGUGGGAACCUGCCCUUAGGUUCGGAAUAACUCCCCGAAAGGGGUGCUAAUACCGGAUAAUGUCUUCGGACCAAAGAUUUUUCGCCUUUGGAUGGGCCCGCGUUGGUUUAGCUAGUUGGUAGGGUAAAAGCCUACCAAGGCGACGAUCCAUAGCUGGUCUGAGAGGAUGAUCAGCCACACUGGGACUGAGACACGGCCCAGACUCCGACGGGAGGGAGCAGUGGGGAAUAUUGGACGAGGGGCGAUAGCCUGGUCCAGCAGUGCCGCGUGAGUGAUGAAGGCCGUAGGGUUGUACAGCUCUUUUAGCCGGAAUGAUAAUGACAGUACCGGGAGAAUAAGCUCCGGCUAACUCCGUG
rnacentral:rRNA from 1 species